CCAGUAUGGAGUUUUUACAUAGAGUCCCAGUUUGAGAAUCACCAGUUAUGCUUGUUACACUACCUCUCUUCGUUUGGAAACUCCAGCUGUUCGGCAGAUGAGCUCCUUGUUCAAACCCUAGGUGGAGAAGUGAGGAUGAUGAUGACGACAACAUACACGCGUCGUCUGAAAUGCACAGUGGCCAGAGGGCACCGGAGCUGAAACCAGGAGAAGCUCUCCCUGACGAUGCUGCACACGGACGCUGGCAGGGAUCAGGCACAUCUUCUCCUCACUGCAGAAGCCUGCCUGUGCUCACUGAUUUGGACUGAGGAAGGGAUCAACAGGCUGUCCUUUGCAGUCAUGUUCAUUCUCCAAAACAUGGCAGGCCACUUCCAUUCACCUUUAGCCCUGGGGAAAGCUGUGACACACACAGGCUGCCCUUGACCAGGUGCAACACUUGUGCGCAACAUCAACAAGUAGCGGAGCAGCAACCCAUUGCAUGACUGUGAGUCUGUCGUGAAAUCGGGCCUCUUGCUAAGAAAAGCAAACUUGAAUUGGCAAAACAAGUUAUGUUACAGCACAUUUGAAA
rnacentral:lncRNA from 1 species